UACGUAGGGGGCAAGCGUUGUCCGGAAUUAUUGGGCGUAAAGAGCGUGUAGGCGGUCCGGUAAGUCGGCUGUGAAAGUCCAGGGCUCAACCCUGGGAUGCCGGUCGAUACUGCCGGACUAGAGUUCGGAAGAGGCGAGUGGAAUUCCCGGUGUAGCGGUGAAAUGCGCAGAUAUCGGGAGGAACACCUAUGGCGAAGGCAGCUCGCUGGGACGUUACUGACGCUGAGGUGCGACAGCGUGGGAGCAAACAGG
rnacentral:rRNA from 1 species